ACAAUGGAGAGUUUGAUCCUGGCUCAGGAUGAACGCUAGCGGCAGGCCUAAUACAUGCAAGUCGAACGGGCUUAUGUUUUUCGGAAUAUGAGUUAGUGGCGCACGGGUGAGUAACACGUACAUAACCUACCUUCAAGAGGGGGAUAGCCUUGGGAAACUGAGAGUAAUACCCCAUAGUAUCAAGUUGCGGCAUCGUGAGUUGAUUAAAGCUGAGGUGCUUGAAGAUGGAUGUGCGUCUGAUUAGCUAGUUGGUGAGGUAACGGCUCACCAAGGCGACGAUCAGUAG
rnacentral:rRNA from 1 species